UAUUUCAUAGCGAGGGGUAAAAUCCUGUGACCUGUGAAAGAUAGACAAGAGCGAAAGCAUUCCACAAAAAUGUUUUCAUGUGAUCAAGAACGAAAGUUGGGGGAUCGAAGACGAUCAGAUACCGUCGUAGUCUCAACUAUAAACUAUGCCGACCAGGGAUUGGAAAAGAAAAAGCACGGUUUAUCCGUGUUUAUUUCGAAUUAUUUAAAACGACAAUUUGGCGUUUUAAAAUAGACUUCUCCAGCACCUAAGAGAGA
rnacentral:rRNA from 1 species